AGAGAGAGACAUGCGCGCAUAUCAAUAAGCGGAGGAAAAGAAACUAACGAGGAUUCCCUUAGUAACGGCGAGUGAAGCGGGAAGAGCUCAAAUUUGAAAUCUUCAAGGGUUCUACCUUUACGAAUUGUAGUUUAUAGAAGUGUUUUCUGUUAGUGGAGUGGCAAAAGUUCUUUGGAAUAGGACAUCAUAGAGGGUGAGAAUCCCGUAUUUGGUCAUUCCUCCUAGCGUUGUGAUACACUUUCAACGAGUCGGAUUGUUUGGGAAUGCAGUCCAAAAUGGGUGGUAAAUUUCAUCUAAAGCUAAAUAUUGGCGAGAGACCGAUAGCGAACAAGUACCGUGAGGGAAAGAUGAAAAGAACUUUGAAAAGAGAGUUAAACAGUACGUGAAAUUGUCAAAAGGGAAGCGUUUGACACCAGUGUUGUUUUUCCGAAAAUCAAUUACGAAUGUUUUAGUUUUUGAGGAGUUAUGACUUCAUCGGCUUGCUCCUUUCUUUAUGAAACUUUCUUAAUACACUUUUCGGUUAACAAGUCAACAUCAAUUUCUUUUGUUGUAAAAGGGUAUGAGGAAGGUGGCUUUCUUUUCGGAGAAAGUGUUUAUAGCCUUGUGCCUCUGCAAUCGGAGAGAUUGAGGUCUGCAGCGUAGAUCCUUCGGGGUUAGAUACGUUUGUGCUAAGUUAUAGCUUUUCAUAGACAACUUGUUGACUAUGUUUAGUCUUGUAGCUUACUCGCUGACGCUAUUUUACCUACGCUUAGGAUGUUGAUAGUCACAGCGUGUAC
rnacentral:rRNA from 1 species